AGGAAAACUGCCGGUCACACACGAUCUCAACAGAAACAGAAACUCGGGACGAGUGAGAGUUGAUACAUCAGUACUCACCUCUCUCCCAGAUUACAGUUCAUACAAAAGUCGAACAUAAACACAGAAAGAGGAGCAGAGCGAAAUCAAAUGCAAAAGGAGGAGAAUAUUAUUAUCAUUGACCCCCAGGCCCCAGCCCAUUUUGGAAUCCUCAUAUGAACACUGGCCUUGACCAUUGAGAUUUCUCUAAGACCUUCAUGUAUGUUCAGUUUGGUGCCCACCUGCAAAGGUAGGCAUGCUUGCAAAAGUUUCCCCUCACUGCGAGUCUGUUACCAAUUCUUCUCUUCAGCUACUAAUUCAUUGCCUUCUGUAUCGGAUGGCUUUGGAACUGAGAACAAAAGAACUGAUUUCGGUCUUCUAUUUCAAUCCUGCACAAAACUUCACCAUGCCAAGUGUCUCCAUGCUUUUCUUGUGGUGUCAGGAAAAGCUCAAGAUAUUAUUUUUUCCUCCAGGCUAGUCAAUCGGUAUGCCUACCUUGGUGAUGUUUCAUUCUCACGCAGCACUUUUGAUUCGAUGCCUAGAAAGGAUGUCUAUACCUGGAAUUCAAUGGUGUCUGCAUAUGUUCGCAGUGGACGUUUCCAAGAAGCUGUAGACUGUUUCUCUGAUUUUUUGUUGACCCCUGGUCUGCGACCUGAUUUCUACACUUUUCCUCCUGUCUUGAAAGCGUGUGGGAAUCUAAAUGUUGGGAAGAAAAUACACUGUUGGCUUAUAAAGCUGGGUUUGGAAUGGGAUGUCUUUGUGGCUGCUUCCUUGAUCCAUAUGUAUUCACGGUUUGGAUUUAUUAGCGUUGCUCAUAAAUUGUUUGACGAGAUGCCAUUCCGGGAUAUGGGUUGUUGGAAUGCAAUGAUUUCUGGGUUUUGUCAGAAUGGGAAUGCAGCAGAUGCAUUAGAUGUCUUGAUUGAAAUGAGAUCGGAGGGUGUAAAGAUGGAUCCUGUAACUGUUGCAAGUCUACUGACUGCUUGUGCACAAUCAGAUGAUUCCUUAAGUGGGAUGCUGAUUCAUUUGUAUGUCAUAAAGCAUGGACUAGAGUUUGAUCUGUUCGUAUGCAAUGCCUUGAUUAACAUGUAUGCUAAAUUUGGUUGCUUGGGACACGCACACAGGGUUUUUUAUGAAAUGCAGGUAAGAGAUUUGGUGUCAUGGAACUCAAUAAUUACUGCAAAUGAGCAGAAUGAUGAGCCGAUGACUGCGCUUGGAUUCUUCAACAGAAUGCAACUAUCCGGAGUUAAGCCUGAUUGGUUAACACUAGUGAGUUUGGCUUCCAUUAUAGCUCAAUUAAAUGAUGCUGAAAUGAGUAGGUCUGUUCAUGGAUUCAUUUUGAGGAGAGAUUGGUUCAAGGAAGAUGUUGUUAUUGGAAAUGCAGUUGUGGACAUGUAUGCAAAGUUGGGUGCUGUAGAUUCUGCACGUACUGUUUUUGAAGGACUUCCUGUCAAGGAUGUGGUUUCAUGGAAUACUUUGAUCACAGGUUACACUCAAAAUGGUCUUGCAAGUGAGGCGAAUGAAGUGUACUGUAUGAUGCAAGAGUGCAAAGAAAUAAUUCCAAACCAAGGAACUUGGGUUAGCAUUCUACCAGCAUAUACCCAUUUAGGGGCCUUGCAACAAGGGAUGAAAAUUCAUGGGCGGGUGAUCAAGAACUGUCUCUACUUGGAUGUAUUUGUGGGUACCUGCUUGAUUGACAUGUAUGGAAAAUGUGGGAGACUAGAUGAUGCAUUAUCAUUAUUCUACCAAGUGCCCAGAAUGAGUUCAGUCACUUGGAAUGCCAUGGUUUCCUGUCUUGGAGUUCAUGGGCAUGGUGGGAAAGCUGUGAAGCUAUUCAAAGAUAUGAUAGAUGAGGGGGUCAAGCCAGAUCAUGUAACCUUUGUAUCUCUAAUGGCAGCUUGUAGUCAUUCAGGUUUGGUCAAGGAGGGUGAAUUGUACUUUCAUAUGAUGCAGAAAGAGUAUGGAAUCAAGCCUGGUUUAAAGCACUAUGGCUGCAUGGUAGAUUUACUUGGUAGAGCUGGGUAUUUAGACAAGGCAUAUAGUUUUAUUAAGACUAUGCCUGUACAGCCUGAUGCUUCUGUUUGGGGGGCACUACUUGGUGCUUGUAGAAUACAUGGGAAUGCUGAAUUGGGGAAAAUUGCUUCAGAAGGCUUGUUUGAAGUUGAUUCGGAGAAUGUGGGCUACUAUGUUUUGUUGUCAAAUAUAUUCGCAACAACCGGGAAAUGGCAAGGUGUGGAUAAAGUGAGAUCUAUGGCUAGAAACCGCGGACUGAGGAAGACUCCCGGGUGGAGCUCAAUAGAAGUUAACAAUAAAGUUGAUGUCUUUUAUACUGGGAACCAAACGCAUCCAUUAUGCGAACAGAUAUACCAGAAGUUGAGGGAACUAACUGAGAAAAUGAAGAGCCUUGGUUAUGUUCCGGACUUCAGCUUUGUGUUGCAGGAUGUCGAGGAUGACGAGAAAGAGCAUAUCCUCACGAGUCAUAGUGAGAGAUUGGCGAUUGCUUUUGGAAUCAUUAGCACGCCUCCUAAAACUCCGAUUCAGAUCUUCAAGAACCUGAGGGUUUGCAGUGAUUGCCACAAUGUGACGAAACUCAUAUCAGUAAUUACGGAGAGGGAGAUCAUAGUGAGGGAUUCAAACCGUUUCCACCAUUUCAAGGAUGGAACUUGCUCAUGUGGGGAUUAUUGGUGAAAAUGAGAAUCAAAUAGAACAGUUGUGGUAUGGUCAAAUGUACAGGAGGUGCAACAACGGUAAUCUAUUGAUUUUCAGUUUUCUGUUCUGAAUUUUUUUUCUCUUCCAUCCAUUGUGCUUUGAAUCCUAUGAUGGCGCUCGGUGAUUUGCAUGUCAGUUUUUUUUUUUUUUUUUGUAAUCAAAUCUAAUUUCGUUUCGUUCUGUUUGUUUAUAAAUAUUAAGCAAGUGUUUUAGAAGUAAAUGCUGCACUGAAAAAGGAGAUCUCAUUUCUCUGAUUGUGUAACGUUGAUUGAGGAAUAAUUGGUGAUAUUUGUGUUUGAAUUUGUGGAAACAAUGGUGAUGAAGAUAUUUUUGGAAGCUGUGGAUUCAGGAAUACUAGUUUUUUGUUGUUUCUUUUGUUGAGUUUUCAAUUUUAUGCAAGGGAAUUCGAGUUCAAAAUUGAAUUUUGUGUGGGAUUAUGAGUCCAGAAUUGUGGUGAGCACUAAAGUAUGGAUGUUUUAUCUUCCUUAUCGGCACGACAGUUAGCUACCUAUUUAGGAGUAGAAGGUAAAGUGAAGUUAAAUUUAUUGAGGUCAUGGAGGCUUUUUUUGUUCUGUUUUUCUUCUUGCCUUGGUAAGUAGUUUUUGGAAAACGGUUAUAUGGAUAACAAUGUGGCGGCUAAAAAGAGAUCUAUAUAAAGUACUUUAGUAAGUGGUACAUCAGAUCAGGUUUUACCGGUAUUCCAGCAUAUGAUGAUCAAGUUUGUUUCUAGUGUUGGAGAUGACUUGCUCAUUCCCAAUGCAAGAGAAUGACAAUGCUCAUGAUACUCUAACUCCAGUGCUUGAUUCAGUUGAUUGCUUCAUGGAUAUUAUCUGAGUGUCUUACUUUUGGGCACUAGGCUAUUUCCUUGGUUUUACCAACCAGUGGAGGCAAACAAUCUUUUAGUUGGGAUUUGCUGGAGGUCGCUUGUCCCCAGUGCUCGAAGUUUUUCAUGACUUACGUCUUAGUUCCUGAUUCAUGCACGCACUGUAAUUUAGGAAUUUAGCUUCAUAUAGAUGUCCAAGUUCUAGUCCAUACCUUAUAAGCCACAAGCCUAGCAUUUUUUUUGCUAUUUGCUUGAGCCCAAACACCUCUUCCAUCUGAUUGCCUGUGAAUAAUAUGAAAAAGAAAAGGGCACAUCCACAGAGUGGACAAAUGAGAAGCACAGAUCAUAUAUAAAUUCCUUAGAAACAUCAUUUGUAAAUAAAUUGUACCAUUCCAGGCAUUUGCAGGACUGCCAUCCACAAAAGUAUGUUCGGGGGACACAUCCAUCAGAAGAGUUGCCUUUCAAGACUUGUAAUUCUUCUGACCAGGUCAGGGAGUCAAAUCUGUUCAUUGUUGUUCGAGAUAGGCGUUCUCAGAAGAUCAUCUCUCCUAGGAAUGAAACUCUGCUGGAAAGCACCGCUGAUUCUAACGUUACUAUGGAAAGGCCCCGGAUGGAUCAUAUAGUGUCUUGUUAUAAGGGGACCCA